GGGGACGCACGGGCUCGACAGGGGGAGUAGACUACAGGAUUGCAGGCUGAGGUGCCAUUAACCUCAUUAAACAAGUGGCAAAAAAAUAACUGGCAACGAACCAGUUCUUGCUGCCUAAUUAAAUAGGCAGCACAUCCAACCUGACCUCACCUCAACGGGUUAGGAUUGGGUGCCGAAAAGUUGAGGUGCCACUGCUCGGAUGUCGAUAAGGGUAGUGAAAGAAUUAUCGGCUGGCUUGGCUAAACUCGGUCAGCAGAGGCUAGCCAGGUAAGAUAAAAGAGCUGACUAAGCUUGUAGUAUAUUCUGGGUAGCUUCUCUUGGACGGGGAGUUCGACUCUCCCCCGUCUCCACCA
rnacentral:tmRNA from 1 species